AAGUCGUAACAAGGUUUCCGUAGGUGAACCUGCGGAAGGAUCAAUCCAAAUAUAUACAUUUAAAAAAAUGUAUUUUUUACUAAUGGUGAUUAUUUGUAAAAGUUUACUUUUACUAUAAUUGUCGUGAUUACAAUUAGACGGUGUCUAAGUAAUCGAACCAAUUUUAGCCAUUUGAAAUAAAUUUAAAUUUGAUACACAACUAUUAGUGGUGGAUCACUUGGCUCGCAGG
rnacentral:misc_RNA from 1 species